AUGCAUAGUGUUCGGGUGAGAAGGGCUGGGGUUGCUGGCGGUGAACCAGAGACUGCCGGCUCCUUGGAAGGGAGGCUGCGGGUGGUGAUGGAGACUCGGGUGGGGGCGCCCAGUGGAGAACUGGCUCAGGGCUUCAGCCUUUUUUCAGGUGUUCAGGUGGGGCGGGGGGGAACAAGGAACAGCUGCUGUUCUGUCUCUGCCCCAGCAGAUGGUGGUGUCAGCCCGGUCCUCGCUGCCAGCCCGCCCGCUCCGCCCGCGCGGCGUGUCCCCCCACCCCCAGCCUGCAGAUGGCUUAAUCAUGACUCGCCUUUCUCCCCCACCGGUCCCCCCGCCCGGCGCGUCUGGGCUAACGCUGCGAGCGCGGAGCCAGGCAGUCAAGUGUUACUGCGUACAGCAGGUAGCCUGGCAACUGAGAGCAUAAUACCGAGCAGAUGGUGUUCGCACGGCGUGAUGGACAUCACACACGACAGCCCAAGACAAUCCAGGAAUUCCCUGGUGACUCGAGGCCCUCUUUACACAAAACGAGUUCUCUCUCCAUUGCCGUGUAUCUCUGGGGUUAUCUACCCCCUCUAUCCGACUGACACUGAACUGGUUUCUUAUUACCGACUUUGCUUCCAGCCCGAGGGGAGGGAGAUUUCAAGUGGGGGUUGGGGGAGGCUAUGCAAGGAAACGGAAGGGCCGGGAGUUGGGGGGGGUGGGGGGGGAGGUGGCGACCCGAGAGGGGAGGGACAGUGGCGCACCCCAGACCUAGGGGCGGACCAUCUGAGAGGGACAGGGUUCCCCCAUAACCCAGCCUCAAGAAGCCGGUGCGGGGAGGGCGGCGCUGGGGGCGUGCGAGCCUGGGCUUAGUGGCUUCGCCAUCGAAGGGCUUACGAAGAGCCUAAAUGAAAUUUAGGAUUUUACUUAAGAAGCCUCCUGGGGCGUAAUUUAGCCUCUCGACUCGAGCCUCUGUGCUUACAAGCCCUUAGGGGACUGAGAAGUCAGGAGUGGAACCCGUGCGCCCCUGAAGGGCCGAAGAUGCCUCUCCGCGCAGGCGUUCUUAACAAAGAAACCGACCGGGAGGUCCGGGCGCGGGCAGGGGCAGUGCGGGGGGCCGAGGGGACCGGGAGAGCCGCCCAGGGGCCCCCAGGUCCUCGGCCUGAGAGCCGCUACGCAGCGGGUGAGAUCGCUGCGCGCUCCCGGGCGCAUUUCGCCACCCUCUUCCUCGCCGAGCGUCAUUGGGAAGGAAGCGGGUUCUGGAGGAAAUGGGGGGAGACAGGAGGAUUGUUCACGGUAGGGAAAAGUAAAAUUAAUAUAGAAACAAAAAGCAUGUCUCAGAAAACAAAUCUGUGCUUUUCACACACACACUUAAGCGGGUCAAGUAAUUAAAAAAAAGCCCAAAUGGAAUUUUGUCUAGAUUUUAUACGUCACGCCGCUUCUGUGUCCAACCUAUCACCACUCUCGGGGGUGCUUUCUCCUGCAAAGGUACUGGUCAAGUUUUAAGUUUCAGGAAGAGAGAGUCUUUUCAAAGGUGGAAGCUGACUUUUCACGCAGAACACCACACUUGCUGGGAAGUUCAGCAGUUUCGUGUCAGAAUCCGACACCCACUGCGGAGCUGGGUGGACUCCCCGGGGCUCAGGGUGGUGAGCUGGCAUUCUCAGGCUCAGGAGGCCACCUGGCUGCUUGGUCUCUACCCGCACCUCCUCAAAUGGAAAUCAUAUCCAGUAGGAAUCCUCCCUCGACAAAGGAAACUCUGGGGAUGAAUGAGCUAUAGAGAGAAAAUGGCUAAGAAGGUGCUAAAACCUCUUACACUUUCAGUGUAGGGUGGGCUGUUGGGGAACCAUGAUGGGCUAAACCAGGGGUUCUCAAAGUGUGGGUCUAGGACCAGCAUCAUUAGCAUAACCUGGGAGCUCGUUAGAAAUGCAAAUUUUCAGACUCUACUCCAGGUCUCCAGAACAAGAGUCUCUGGGUGCAAUUUAACAUGCCCCAGGAUAACCACAGAGCUUCCCUGGUGGCCCAGAUGUUAAAUAAUCCACCUGCAAUGCAGGAUACCUGAGUUUGAUCCCUGGGUCAGGAAGAUCCCCCAGAGAAGGGAAUGAAUACCCACUCCUACAUUCUUGCCUGGAGAAUCCCAUGGACAGAGGAGCCUGGCCAGCUACAAUCCACGGGGUUGCAAAGAGUCAGACACAACUGAGCGACUGAAAACACACUCCCGUCACCACGAUGCCCCAUAUUUUGAGACUCACUGGGGCAAAUAAUCCUGGUGUAUGAGCACUGACUGCAACCUGGGGUAUCAGCACUGUCUGUGCCCUGAUUAGAUGACAAACCCUGUACUUUCCAAAGCAAGUCAGAGUGCUGAGCUACUUAGGUUUCUAUUGCAAAUUCUUCUGCAGUUGGAACAGAGUUCUCCAAUUUUCAGAGGGCUGUGCAGGCAGUAUAAGCUUAAGAAUUCUGGAAAAAAAAGCCUAUGCUGUGAUUCUUCCAGAAAGGUCAGUGUUCCUGCAGCUCUGCUGUGAAGGCUGAGGAGCAGCCAAGAUCCAGGAAUGGGUGAGGCCAGUUCAACUCCUUUGCUCAGGGAGAAAGCAUCAAAUGCCACUAGGCUUCCUGUCUCCUGGUCUAUAUACAGUAGGAAAGCUAAGAUUUGAGGAAAGCUCCCUCUUCAGACAUGAAAAAGACCCAAAGCAACAAUAGAAGACAACUAGCAUGUAUGGGGUACCUUACUGUAUGACUGUUUUCAUUUGUGUAAUCAAACUCAUUUUGUUGAUUAAAACAAAAAAAAAUCUGAGUCUCUGAGAGGUUAAGUAACUUGCCUGAUGUCCCAUAGUCUUUGGGAUUCUGACUUUUCCACUGACCAGAAUGUGCAUCUGGUCUAAAUUGAGCAGACCACCCAAGAGGGCUCUGGAGUAAAGAGAAAUGGGAAGGAGGGGGUGCGGGAGAGGGAUGGGAAUAGAAGCAAAAGGUAGACACUCUAUUGGGAUCAAAGGAUGAAGCUGAAAGAGCACAAAAAUAUACAUCAUGUUUUAUAUGUUGCCUGAUACCCAAAAUUAGGAUGCCUUUGUGGUAUCAACUUUGACAUUUAAAGAAAGGGCAUAAGAUUAGCCCAUUCAACCAGAAAUGGAAGGAAGAAACAAAAUAAAAUAAAACCUUAGAAUUCUCUUUGAAGUUGAUCAAGUGUCAGGGCAGAAACUUGGUUUCAGGAUGGUGGCUUCUUUUAAAGACUUUCUUUGUCCUUGUCCAGAAUAAUUUUUCACUGUGGUUUGGAGAGUUGCUUGUAAUACAUUCAUAGCAGUGCCCCAAUAGACCCACCCCAUAUAAACACCUCUGUUUCAGCAGAUUACUGAGGAAGUUUGGAUAAAAAAGUUUGUUUUAUGAUGUGGCUGUGUCACCAAGAUGACUGAGUUUUGAGGUAGUUUACCAAUUUAGCAAGCUUAUCAUGUACAGGACAGUAACUUGGGGGUGCAAUGCUAAGUCUGCUUAAAUGGGUGCAGGAAAGUUCUUUGUUCGGCUUUUAAGAAGGAGCAGUGGAGGAACCCAAUAGGCUUGGGUAGAAGCUCCAGGGUCCAGUGACUGGCAUGAUCCUGACCACGUAACACAUAGCUUGUUAUCACUAUUAUUGCUAUGACUUCUUGAUCAUGCAGCUUUAGAAAGUCAGGGUGAAGGAAGUGCUGUGUCUCUGGUUCUAGCUUAAUUCCUAGGAUAAUGAGGUCUAAGACUUUAAACCUGAUUUUCUUUCUAGGUUCUCAGUGAGCAGGAUGGCAUUCCUACUCACACGUUUGACUCUUUAACAAAUACGUGUUUUGCUGAUUUUCACCCUCCCCACAAUCACUGGGAAAAUUUAAAAAUAAUGUCUGAAAGGGGACUUCCCUGGUGGUCCAGUGGCUAAAACUCCAUGUUCUCAAUGCAGGGGGCCUGGGUUCCAUCCAGGGAACUAGAUCCCAUGUGCCACAACUAACAGUUCACGUGCUGCAGCUAAGAUCCUGCCUGUUGCAACAAAGAGCCGGUGCAGCCAGAUAAAUAUUAAAAAAUGUAUUGUCUAAAAGUAUUUUUA
rnacentral:lncRNA from 1 species